CCCAGGGAAUCCACCCUGAGAAUACUUAACACGAGCCACACCAUCCAAAAGAAGGGCUUCUAUAAAGGUCUGGAAGCAUCUCUGAAAAUUUUACUUGCUUCCUUUUUUACUUACUUUCCUUCCUACUUUGCCAUCUCGGAAGACUGCCUCACAGCUGGAAAUCAGGAUAUUCCUGGGAGCUGAAUGGGAAAGAUCAUUUAUAUAUUCUUUUUUUUUUCUUCAAAUGUUGUACCACUCCAUAAUGGCAAGCCUGUUGAAGAUCCACAGCAAACAGAUAAAGUGAAGGAUUUAGUAGAAACUUGGAAGAGCAAGACUCUUUUUGCAUUAGACGGGAGGAUGCUGAGUACCUGGGAGAAGUGAAUUGAUGCCCCUGGAAAUCUGACCAGAAUAGUGCCCUAACAGAUUCUAACCCAGAAAAUCUGACUCCUUGAGACAUGGAUUUUUUGGCAACCAACCGCAUGCGCAUGGUCUUGGCUCAUCUGAAGACCCCUUGUUGAUUUUGCAUCUGGACAUAGUGGGCCAACAUUGUAUGAUGUACAAGGUGUCAGUAAAACCUGCAGGGGAUCCUUCGAUCAUAAGAAAAUAACAAGUCUCAUUGUUCCUGUGGGGGAGCAGACACAGAGACCCAAAGAUUUAACUCUUUCAAGUGAGUAAUAUCCUAAUUCGGAUUUUGCCUUGGGAGAUGAGCUUCCUUGAGCUACAUAUAAUCGAGUAAAAUUGUAUUAUCAGUAAAACCCCCUUCAGACCCUCAUCUCUUCUCUAUGAUAACAAGUAUAACUUUCUCCAUAAAGCACCUAUAUAAGGGUUAAGAUUAAGGUUGUCUUUGUAAUCCUUACAAAGUGUGUCUGUAUUAGCUUCUUUGAAGUUUCUUCUGAAUCACAGUUUUAAAAUAUUUAUGUUCUCAGAUCACCUUAGAAAGUAAUAUUCUGUGUGUUUUUGUUUGUUUGUUGCUUGUUUGUUUUACUCUAUGCCUACUAAUGUGCUGUGUACAAAAAACAAAUUGUUAUUGUAUUGGAACAAUUCUGUUUCCAUUGAUGAAGUUCCAGAGGGAGAUUUUAUGCAGAUUCAACUGUCCAGAGCCAUGCAAAAGCAUCGGGCUUUUUAAAAUGGUUUUUUAAAAAUUAAUUAAUUAAUUAAUUAAUUAAUUAAAGAUUUUAUUUAUUUAUUCAUGACAGACACAGAGAGAGGCAGAGACACAGGCAGAGGGAGAAGCAGACUCCAUGCAGGCAGCCCAAUGUGGGACUCGAUCCCUGGUCUCCAGGAUCACACCCUGGGCUGAACCCAGCCCAGCUAAUCUCAGCUAGACCACUGAGCCACCCAGGCUGCCCUAAAAUUAUUUUUUAAAAAGGCACUAUCUUUACGUAAUAAAACAACCUGAUAACAGUUUCCUAUAAGUAUAAAACACAAUGAUAUAUGAAACUUAUGCUAUUUUUAAACAUUUUUUUAUAUGCUUAGAAACAAAACAAAAAUGAUUGUAUACAAUGUUGCAGAAGAACUUCUCCCCCUUCCCCCCAUAAGUUUGGUGAGCUCUAACCAGGAAGCAGUUUACUGUGCUGUUUUGUAAAUUUAGGAAAGAGACUCUCACAUUCAUAUUUGUAUCUUCAAGAGGAAAUACCUGCAAUAUUGUAGAUGCUUAAUAAAUGCUCAUGAAAUAUACAAGUGAAUAAAUAUCUAGGUAUUAACAUACUGCUGAAUUUAGCACCAUUGAUCUAAGCACUUAAUGCUCUUACAAAUUGCAAGCAAUGCACCUAUUAAAAGAAUUUCCUCAUGUAUAUUUCUCCUGAAAUUAAAAAUAAAAAAUAUUUUAAAUUAUAUUUUCCAGUUUCUAGAUUAUACAGAACCUACUUCUUCAACCAGAUCAUAGCAAAGCAAAAUUGUCUAUAAUCAGUUCUCAUUUUGGAGAGAUACAAAAAUAAUAUCCAAGAUAAAUUGGGGGAAGAAAGAUGGCAUAAAAUGUGCUACAAGUUAGCUUGUGAUUUAAAAAAGAAAAUUGCUUUGUCAUAAGUCAGAAGCAUUUUAGCUUCUUUUAAAAAAUGAUUUGAAACAUUUUGACUAAUGUUAGAGUUUCCAGUGAUGAAGGAUAUCAUAAAUGUGCUAGUUUAGAUGAAAGAUAAAAAUAAAGUCAGAACCACAAGAUGAAUAAUUGGUAUCUAUAAUGUAUACUGACUUCUUGUUCUAAGCAUGUACAUGUAGGGUUAUCAAGGCAACUCAUUUGACCUAGAGGAGAUGGUGUUAUUUCUGGCAACUUCCUUUAUCCUGUUUGAAAGAACUAUUUUCUAUUACAUUAACAAUGUAAAACCAAAUAAAGAUUUAAAUUCUGAAAAAAAAAAAGAUUUAAAUUCUGUAAUCAAAGCCCAAAAUAAUGAUAACCGGAAGGUAAUUUAUGAAGAAUCAUUGUAAAUGGAUAUCUUUUUCUUCAAGAACAUGUGAACAAAAUGAGUGAGGAAAGAAGACGGAAGGAAAAGAAAUCUCUAAGUUAUAACCUCCAUAUGCUGAUAAAGGUUUAAUUAAUUUUUAGCACAAUCUGCUGUUUUUUUUUUUUUUUUUUUUUUUAAGUGUUGCUUCAAGUUAUAAUACCAAGCACUCUCCAGUUUUGGGCAACCUUCACCAUUCGCCUGGACCACAUUUUAACUUUUGGAAACUUAGUGGUUUAUGUUCAGUGUCAUGUUAAAACAGAUGCUUCUCUAACCUUCUCAAGUUGUGAGAGGGUUGUUGGUUGUUUCAGAAUACAAUAAAGAAAGAUGGGGGAAGAAUGAUUGUCAAGUUACUCUUCACCUCCAUCUAAAGCAGUGUUCUUCAUAUUGACUAAAUAUUGGAAUCGCUAAAGUUUUAAAUAUUAUUGGUGAUUGAGUAUCAUCCCCCAAAUUCUCAUUUAAUUGAGAUGGUUAUGACCUGGGCAUAGAAACCUUUCAAAAUUCUUUCAAAUAAUUCUAAUGUGCAACCCAUUUUGAGAACCAAUAACCCAAAGGAAGGAAGAAGAAAAAUGUACAAAAGGCUAACAGUUAAAAAGUUUUCUUUUUGAGGUGCCUGGCUGGCUCCAUUUGUAGAGCAUGUGACUCUUGAUCUCAGGGUCAUGAGUUCAAGCCCCACAUUGGGGGUAGAAUUUACUUUAAAAAAGCCAUUCAGUUAAAUUCUUUGGUUUUCCUUACAUUGGUGGAGACCAGAAUCUUUAAUUAUUAUGCUCAUUUUGAGUGUAAGGCAACAGAACUGCACUAAAAACAAUGUUUCAAUGUCUUAUUAAAAUGAUCUAUUCAGUUUUAUUUAAUUCAACUCAAUAAAAAGUGACUAACCUAUUAUGUACAAAGAACUGACCUAAUCUUGUAAGGACAUUCAAAGAUGAAUAAGAUCUGAUCCCCCUUCUCAAAUAGCAUAUAGACAAGAGAAAUGUUAGCUAAGUCAACUAGAGUCAGAUAUUUGUAAAUAAAUCGGACCUGGUAAAGGAGCUUAAUGGCUUCUUGAAUAGAAAAUGAAUAUCCUAUAAGUUCUGACACCAAAAUCACAAAAUCAAUCUUAAAAACAGCAUUAGCCCAUAGAUAUAUAGCACUAUGUCUGAUUAAGCCUAAGAAAGUGGAGAAAUGAGCCAUUAGCUGAUGAAUUAGAGCUAUUUGUUUUUUGCCAGAUUGGGAGGCUGAGAUGGUGUGUUGUUUCCAACCACAAAACUGAGAUAUGAAAUAAUUAGUCAAAAGUCUUAACAGUAUACUGGGCUUACCUGUGAAAGUGCUUCCUAGGUGCCAGGUAAAUUUUUUUCAAUUCAAAUGAAAAGUGUUAUUAUGCAUAAUCAAUUGAAUAAGUUGUUUUUAGAUUUGCCUUGAGUGCAUCAGAUGAGUGCUACCCAGUAAAAUGUGGAUCUCUAUCUUAGUACACAUUAUUUUAUGAUUUGUAAUGCAGAGAUUUAUAGUAUAUGUAUGUAUCUACAUGCAUGUUUAUGUGGCACAAGUUAGCUUGUUUAGUGACACUAUAUAUGGUGACAGAAAGCAAAUGAAUGGUCGUGUGGGUUCUGUGCAUGGAGUAUCAGAAUGCAGGAUUACAAAGGGGCAUUAAUAAACUUUUGGGGCAGAUGAUAUGUUUCUUUUCUUGACUAUGGUAAGCUAUCACAAGUAUAUACAUACUUCAAUUUAUAAUACACUUUGUUAUGUGCAGUUUAUUAUUAUCAUGAAAUGUGUCCUUCAUCUGACAAUAUGGAAAUAUUCUCUUACAUAGAGCUUUUACAUUUAAGAUCUUAAUCCAUUUGGGGGUAUGUUUCGUAUAUGAAUGGUGGGUUAAGGACAUAAUUUUAUUCUUUCACUUAAAAAUAAUGCUAUAGGGUGCUUGGGUGCUCAGUCAGUUAAGCACCCAACUUGAUUUCAGCGCAGGUCAUGAUCUCAAGGUUAUGAAAUCAAGCCCUGCAUGGUGCUCCAUGGUCAGCUGGGGGUCUGCUUGAGAUUCUCUCUCUCCCUCUUCCUCUCUCCCACCUGCAUAUGUGUGCACUCUCUCUCUCUCUAACAAUAAAUAAAUCUUUUAAAAACCCCAACAAUUCUAUUAGUCUUAGUUAAAAAACACUCAAACAAACAAACAAACAAACGUUUCCCCCAUCGAUUUGUCAUGCCCCCUCAAUCACAUAAUCUAGGUUCCACAUAUGCUUGUGUCUCGGUUCAUUUGACUGCUCUAUUUGCCUCUCUCUGAACCACAACCACACUCUCAC
rnacentral:lncRNA from 1 species